AGGGUUUGAUUCUGGCUCAGAACGAACGCUGGCGGCAGGCCUAACACAUGCAAGUCGAGCGCGCCUUACGGGGUGAGCGGCGGACGGGUUAGUAACGCGUGGGAACGUACCCUUUUCUGCGGAAUAGCCUCUGGAAACGGAGAGUAAUACCGCAUACGCCCUUUGGGGGAAAGAUUUAUCGGAGAAGGAUCGGCCCGCGUUAGAUUAGAUAGUUGGUGGGGUAACGGCCUACCAAGUCUACGAUCUAUAGCUGGUUUUAGAGGAUGAUCAGCAACACUGGGACUGAGACACGGCCCAGACUCCUACGGGAGGCAGCAGUGGGGAAUCUUAGACAAUGGGCGCAAGCCUGAUCUAGCCAUGCCGCGUGAGUGAUGAAGGCCUUAGGGUCGUAAAGCUCUUUCGCCUGUGGUGAUAAUGACAGUAGCAGGUAAAGAAACCCCGGCUAACUCCGUGCCAGCAGCCGCGGUAAUAC
rnacentral:rRNA from 1 species